rnacentral:rRNA from 1 species
UACGUAGGGGGCGAGCGUUGUCCGGAAUCACUGGGUGUAAAGGGUGCUCAGGCGGGUCGAUAAGUCAGAGGUGAAAUUUCACAGCUUAACUGUGAAUGUGCUUUUGAUACUGUCGGUCUAGAGUUCAGAAGAGGGCAAUGGAAUUCUUGGUGUAGCGGUAAAAUGCAUAGAUAUCAAGAAGAACACCAGUUGCGAAGGCGGUUGCCUGGUCUGUAACUGACGCUCAAGCACGAAAGCGUGGGGAUCAAACAGGAUUAGAUACCCUGGUAGUCCACGCCCUAAACGAUGAAUACUCGGUGUCGGGUCGUAAGAUUCGGUGCCUAAGCUAACGCUUUAAGUAUUCCACCUGGGGAGUACGAUCGCAAGGUUGAA